UGACAAAAUGUUGAUCUAACGCACAAAUAAUCUAUUUUUUCAGCUUAAUAAUCAUUGUUUCAGACUUUAUAUUAAAUUAUUAAAAUGCCAAGUUUUCGAAAUUGUAAGUCGCGAACGAUGAAAUUACCUACUUUAAAUCAAUUUCCGAAAAUUCAAAAGCAGAAGAAGGAAUAUCAUUUUUGUCACUUCAAUUAAUUCGGAAAGUAAAGCGUUAGAACCGCCUGCACCAAGUUCCAUGUCUUCAAAAUCAUUUGAUACGAACUACGCAAAAAUUUAGUUUUGUCUUUGCUGCUGAAUUAUAAAACAUUACUCGUU